AACGAACGCUGGCGGCAGGCUUAACACAUGCAAGUCGAACGGCUGUAGCAAUACAGCAGUGGCAGACGGGUGAGUAACACGUGGGAACCUUCCUAGGGGUACGGAACAACUCAGGGAAACUUGAGCUAAUACCGUAUACGUCCGUAAGGAGAAAGAUUCAUCGCCCCUAGACGGGCCCGCGUCGGAUUAGGUAGUUGGUGGGGUAACGGCCUACCAAGCCUACGAUCCGUAGCUGAUCUGAGAGGAUGAUCAGCCACACUGGGACUGAGACACGGCCCAGACUCCUACGGGAGGCAGCAGUGGGGAAUCUUGGACAAUGGGCGCAAGCCUGAUCCAGCCAUGCCGCGUGAGUGAAGAAGGCCUUAGGGUUGUAAAGCUCUUUUACCAGGGACGAUAAUGACGGUACCUGGAGAAUAAGCCCCGGCAAACUUCGUGCCAGCCGCCGCGGUAAC
rnacentral:rRNA from 1 species